UACGAAGGGGGCUAGCGUUGUUCGGAAUUACUGGGCGUAAAGCGCGCGUAGGCGGUUUUGCAAGUCAGAGGUGAAAUGCCUGAGCUCAACUUAGGAAUUGCCUUUGGGACUGCGAGGCUUUGAGGACGGGAGAGGUGAGUGGAAUUCCCAGUGUAGAGGUGAAAUUCGUAGAUAUUGGGAAGAACACCGGUGGCGAAGGCGGCUCACUGGCCCGUUUCUGACGCUGCAGCGCGAAAGCGUGGGGAUCAAACAGG
rnacentral:rRNA from 1 species